UACGUAGGCAGCAAGCGUUGUUCGGAAUUACUGGGCGUAAAGAGUGUGUAGGCGGUGCUCUAAGUCUGUCGUGAAAUCUCCCGGCUUAACUGGGAGGGUGCGGCGGAAACUGGAAUGCUAGAGGGUGGGAGAGGAAAGCGGAAUUCCUGGUGUAGCGGUGAAAUGCGUAGAUAUCAGGAGGAACACCGGUGGCGAAGGCGGCGUUCUGGACUGCAACUGACACUGAGGAACGAAAGCCAGGGGAGCAAACGGG
rnacentral:rRNA from 1 species